ACUCAAAGGAAUAGACGGGGGCCCGCACAAGCAGCGGAGCAUGUGGUUUAAUUCGAAGCAACGCGAAGAACCUUACCAGGUCUUGACAUCCAGGUAAAGCCAUAGAGAUAUGGGGUGCCUUCGGGCAACCUGAGACAGGUGGUGCAUGGUUGUCGUCAGCUCGUGUCGUGAGAUGUUGGGUUAAGUCCCGCAACGAGCGCAACCCUUACGAUUGGUUGCUAACAGGUAAUGCUGAGGACUCCAAUAGGACUGCCGGGGACAACUCGGAGGAAGGUGGGGAUGAGGUCAAAUCAUCAUGCCCCUUAUGACCUGGGCUACACACGUGCUACAAUGGCCAGAACAGAGAGAAGCGAAGUCGUAAGGCGGAGCGAAUCUUUAAAAACUGGUCCCAGUUCGGAUUGUGGGCUGCAACCCGCCCACAUGAAGUCGGAGUUGCUAGUAAUCGCGAAUCAGCAUGUCGCGGUGAAUACGUUCCCGGGCCUUGUACACACCGCCCGU
rnacentral:rRNA from 1 species